rnacentral:snRNA from 1 species
AAACUUCAGAAAGUUAUUUCAGUUCCUCUCUCACUGGUCUAUGUUUGUUCCCCCUGAAGCUAUGUGCUUAGAUGACUGAAGAUGAUGAUUUUCUAUGAUAGAGGACAAGUCUUUACUCAAAGGUAUAGAGUGGCUGUGUUUCUCUCCUAGAACCUCCAAAUAAGCUCUCAAGAGAUAGCUAUUUCUAUGCUCUGGAGGAAGUCACCAUGAACUUCAAGUCUAAUCCCUGGGUUGGUACCAUUACCCAGGG